CUGCGCACAGGCAGGGCUGGGAGAGCCAUCCUUGCUCCAGGCUCUGGGACUCAUCAAACCUGGUUUCUGGUGGACUUGUUGUUCGUGGCUGACUGACUUUUCAACUCAGUUUUAAUAAGAGUGAGGUCUAACUCCACGAGCAGCGGCUGACCUCCACCCAGGCACCCAUUCCUACAAACCCUGUAGAAACUGAGUAUCUUUAAAAGCUCCAUCAGCUUACAUGAGACAAGGCAACAAGUGCAAGGAGACCCUCCAGGACAGAUGCACAGAAGGCAUGAUCUCAGAAACCUUGCUGCUGGGGAAACACACUAAAGCUCAUAAAAUUUAAGGUUGAAAUUUAAAUGGAACAAACUACAGUUUUAACCAAAAUUCAUGAAUUUUCGCCUAUUUUGUUUACUAGCUAUAGGUUUCUACAGGUGAAUUAAUGUGCUUUGUGGGCUUCCUGUUCAAUGUGCCACCAGAGAGGAUGUCCACUACUCUAGGGCAACUUGACCCAUAACAUCUCC